ensembl:lncRNA
CAAGUAUAUCAAAUUCCAGAGCAUGCGCUUUUUACAUAGCUCUAAAUAGCUGACUUCCUGUUGGGCGGAGCCUAUGACAUGCAAUAUGAAAGUUGUUUGGCUCAAUGAGAUCUACAUGUGUAAUGAGAUUCAUAUGAAUAUGUGCAAGUAUGUGUGAGCUAUACAUCAACAUUUCUGACUGUGUUCCAGGGGGCGCCGUAGAGCCCCUGUGCCACGCCCGGGUCCCAGCCUCUGCGGCCUCCUAAUGGCCACAGAUUCCAAGGUGUGUGCAAAUUUUCAAGAGUUUUUGAGCAUGUUAAGGGCCCCAAAAGCCCCCAAAACUUUGACGGAAAAUAAGAAUACAAAACCCUAAAUAACCAACUUCCUGUUGGGGCGGAGCCUAUGACAUGGAGUACGAAAGUUGUUUGGCUUGAUGAGAUCUAUAUGUGUACCGAGUUUCAUACGUCUACGUGCAAGUAUGUAUGAUAUAUGGCCCUCCAAAUUCCAGGGGGCGCUGUAGAGCCCCUGUGCCACGCCCGUGUAUCAGUCUCUGCCCGGCCCUAAUGGCCGCAGAUUCCAAGGUGUGUGCCAAUUUUCAAGAGUUUUUGAGCAUGUUAAGGGCCCCAAAAGCCCCCGAAACCUUGGAAAAAAAUUAGAAGAAUAAAGAAAAAAAAAAAAAAAAAAAAAAUAAUCCUAAGGAAAACAAUAGGGCUCUUCGCCCUCCAGGCUUGAGCCCUAAAUAUAGCUGCAAGCAGCGAUGGCGGGCCCGAGCCGUCAGCGCAAACGCCACCCCGGUGCCAUCAGUCAAAGUGUGCCCAGUGGAGACAUACACAAUAACCCUCUAGCACAGGGGUGUCCAACCCUGUUGAUGGCGAUCGACUGUCCUGCAAAGUUUAGCUCCAACCCUACUCAAACACACCUGAAGCAACUAAUUAAUGUCUUCAGGAUUGCUUGAAAAUUAAAGGUAGGUGUGACUGAUUAGAGUUGGAUCUGAACUUUUCAGGACAGUCGAUCGCCAGGAACAGGAUUGGGCACACUUAAUUUAGCAGUUUGGAUUUAAGGGAUACAGCAAUGAAAGGGUUAAUCCAAACCAUCAAGCGACACACACAACACAAUAUAUAAAACUUGAGUAACACUUCCAAUAAGGUUUCAGUUAUUAACAUUAAUUAUAUUAAAUUACAUUAACAACAACUGUAUGGCAUUUAUUAAUGUGAGUCUCUCUCUCUGUCUUUCUCACACACUCACUUACACACACACACCCACACACAAAGAA